GUGAGUAGAUCCUUCCCUUCUUCUGUGCCUUAGACAUCACCUGUGUACUUGGCUAUAUGCUGCCACCAACGCAUCUAUAUCCCAUGAGUGCACUCAUCUGUUCAGAUGUCAUGUGUACCAUGCUCUUUGCUAGAAAGUUCCAGUAUGGCUCAGGCUUCUUGUAGGGUGAAUGAAGAGUCUCCCUCUCGGAACACAGUGAAGGUCAAGCUCAAUAGCAUUGUUUGUGAUUUGUACCUUCAAGGGAGGAGAAACAGUGUUGGGACAGGUAGCAAGGGGGUUUCCAAAAGUCUGAGAAGGGUGACAACCUUGGGUCUGAGAGACUGGCCACAGAAAGGACUUUUAUAGCAGAGAAACCUUGGGGACCAAAAACUUGACAGGAGUGCAGUAGACUAUGGUUCGUUAGACAAUGAAGUGCUCAGUUGUUUAACUCCAUGUCAAACUCUGUGCUCAGUACAUGAAGUGUGGCCCAGGAAAGACAGACUAAAACAUAUAUAUUUAUAAAACUAUGUGUGGUGUGAUUCCCUUCGCACUGGUACAUGUUUAUGUGCUAUUAAAGGGACAGUACGAAGACACGGCUCAGAAAUCUAACAAUGGCUAAACUGGAAAGUGAUACUUGACUUUGUAUUUUUCCCUCGUUUAUAUUUAUAAAGAGAGAGAGUGUGUGUGUGUUUGAAGUUUUGGAUCUUUUUGUGCAUUGUGAAAAUAUUCUUUGUUGAUCAGAAAAGAAGCCAAGUUAUUUCAAACGACCCAUCCAUAGAAAAUUGGCAUGCCCUUUCUUUUACAACAUGUCCACAUUCUUCUGUUCUAAAAAGAAUUUAAAGAUUUAUUAUACUUUUAAUUACGCAUGUGCACAUGUGAGAACCGGUGCUUGAAGUACUGAUGACUGUGUGAGUCUUCUAACAUAGCUGAAAUUCAUACUUAGGUCCUCUUCAAGACACGUAUUAUAUCUGUUCUUAGUUGCUGAGCCAUCUCUCCAUGACCUCCACACUCUCAUUCUUCAGUUCUUAAUUAGCCUGCUCUAUAGCCAGCCAGUAGGUCAUAGCAACUGUUGCUGAGCUAGUGAUCUGGACCUGCAGGCAACCACUACCAAGGGAAUCUGUCUCUUUAGCCUCUUUGCCAAACAAUCCAAAAUAAUGGUCAUUCCAGCAUCUGGAGUUUCAGAGCCCUCUUCUUCCAAUUUCUGUCCAUUCUUAUCAAUACUGUAGACUCAUGCUCACAGGUCCCAGGGAAGUGAGCUCCUGACUCAGACUUUGUGAAUAGGUCUGAUGGUAGAUGACUCAGAGUCCUAGAGCUACACACACACACACACACACACACACACACGCUAAAAUGAUUCAACUCAUGAGUACCAAGUAGGACAAAGGUCAAAGUAUAGACCUGGGUUCAUAGCUCCUGUUCACAGUGUGACCUACUAUGAUUGGUAGUAGCACUGGAUGUGAUAUAGGCAGUGACAAGCCAUCUCUAUCUGAUUUUUCUGUUAGUUUCUUAAGGGAAACAGAAUAGGAAAGUAAUGGCAGAGUAAGGAUAGUUUUAGACUGACCUACCUCAUAGGCAGUUUUCACUUCUGUAGAACGAGCAGCUUUCCUCUGUCUCCUGAACAUUAUGCUUUCAGGUUUCAUGUCUUAGCUGAUGAAUUUUUCCUACCACAGAGCAAUGUUUCCUCACCUCAUCCCAUGAUUCUACACCCUUCAAACCUCCAGGGUCAGCAAGAGUUACUUUCUCAGUGAAGCCCUUCUAUUCAUACCCUGGUGUUGAAAGGAGGAUUCACUUUUCCUUUCCCAUAACCUCUCAGGACAUUGCUUUUGUGUCAUUUCCAGCCUUAACCUCCCCACUGAGCUUGCAUGUGAGCUCCUUGGGGGUGUGAAUUCUCACACAUAGUGCUUACACCUAGCUAGUAUGCAGCACACCUAGCCACCGCUGUGAGAUGAAGGUGAUCUCAGCUCUCACAAAGCCAUAUUCUGAACAGAGCAUUUGCAUAGCCUGCUUCUCCAUUGUCCAUGCAGUCCUGGGACCAGGAGGGACUGUCAUUGCCCCAUUUCCUAACUGAGAAAUCCAGGCUCCGAGAGGACUCUUGUUGCCAAGCCUCACUGACAGAAAGGAUUAAUCAAAGGCAGAGGAGCUAUGGUAUCUGGUCCAGUGCUCUCCCAGCAGUCUGGCCUGUCAUCUAGAUAGACUCUGCUGUCAGGAGGUCGUAAGGAGAGUGAAGAGCAGGUCAGUGUGGAGUCGACGUCUGCUCAGUCCUGGGAGUUUCAUGGUUCCUUCCCUCUCUGUGUGUUUUGUCAUAUGUGGGCUUUCCUAGUUCUUCUUCCCCUCCGGCCCCCAUCCCUCCUCAAGGCGAGAAGGAAAUGAAAGCUGGGUCUGUGACUAGCUGUGUAGAAUACAUUUGACCAGUGUCUGGACAAAGAUUAAAGAGGAACCAAUGUAAAGUCCAAGGCUGCCUGUAGUUCACGUACUACUUCAGGGAGGAGUGCCUGUUUGUUUUCUCCUUUUGUUCUCUUCAAAUUUCCUGUGUGCCAGAAGUAAACUCAUAACGGAAGAAAGAAGAAUCUUUUAAGAAGCUAGUGCUGGAUUUCCACCACAGCUGGAGCAGGCUUUAGAAGCAGAUGUGUUGAGCAGAGGACACUUGGCUGUUACGUCUUUUCCUUCCUUCUUUCUCUCUCUCUCUCUCCUCCUUUAAAAAAACUGACAAGUUAUUUUUAUGAUCGCUCUUACAAUUUCACACACUUGAUAAACAUUCUAAUGCACUACAAAAUUUAUAAGAAGGAUCAAGUCUAAUUUUUCACUAUUGAUCAUGGGUUAGGCUUUUUCAGAAUGGCUUCUGUUCCAAGAAUGGCACAAGUUCUUGUAUAUGUAUUUUAAAGAUCAAAAAGCAUAGUCUUGUACAAUUUACAUUUUAAUCUAAUAAUUUUAGUGACCUUGUUUUUAAUGGGCCUGGAGCAUUUCUUCUUUUUAAUUGGCUAUGUGUGUUUUGGAGUAUGUAUAUCAUAAUGUGACCAGCUGCUAUGUAUUUAAGUUGUUUCCAGACUUUUGUUCUGCAAGAAAAUGCUGCAGCAUUGACAGAACAGAACAUCUGCUGAACAGCAGUGUCCUGCCCUACACAUUUUGAUACUGUUUCAUCCACCCCUGAAAGGCUAAUAAGUACCAACAGCUACACACUCUGUACCAUGAAGGUUUCUUCAUUCUUAUACCCACACCAUUACUGUCUGUUGCUGUCUUCACCCUAAAACCUGCUGUAAUCAAAACCACCUUCCUUUUCUGACUUCUUUCUUUUGAAAAAUGUAUUAGGAGUCAUGUGCUCACUGUUCAAACUCUUCAUUCAAGGAAAAAACAAGUGACAUACGACACUGAUACUAGAAAUUUAUGGAAUGAUUUAUGACUCAUGCUUCUCAAAGCUGGUUGCUUAGUUAGGGGGUAUUUUUCAUUUAGUGGAAAAGCAAUUUUUAUCUCCAAAAGGUUGCUUUUUGUUGUUUUAAAAAACAAAAUUCCCAGCCGUUCAAUUUUACCAAAUGGAGACUCAGGAGCUAGAUGCUGUGAUGAAAGCUGUAGCUCAGAGACAGAGAAAGCACCCAGCUGACCUUCCUACUCUACUGACUUUCCAGAAGGAAAAAUCUUUCUCUUUCGCCAAGCUGUCUUAAACACCCUUCAACUCAAAGACCCUCCUUUCUGUUUACUUAUGUUCACUCCCUAUCAGCUGGUUGCUUGCUCCACCUCUUGACCUAUGGUUUACUCACCUCAAGUACUUGUUUACAGUAAACAGAAAGCUCUAGGAGUAAAGGCUCAGCCAUAGUUAGAAACAGAUUCUUACAGUUCAGUCUCAGGGGUUCACAAUGUGAUCAAAUAUCCUGCAACAGCUUUUCUUUUUGUGAGUGCAUUCCUAUCUUAAGAUUGACUUAGUGAUAUCUGAAAUGUGGCUGAACAGAAAUCUAUCCCCUCCAAAAGAGCAAAGGACCCCAGAAGAGGUUACUCUCAAACUUAAGAAGAAAGGAGAAGAGUAUAAUAUUUUUUUCUGAAAAGAUGCAUGCCUCAUUUCUAUCCAUUCAGAAGUAUUUCAAAGUAAUUAUAGACAGAAAUUGGAGAUAAGAUACCAGAUAUCCAGAAGGAAUGCUUAAAUGGUAUGAGCCAGUUCCUGUUAGAAGCCAUGCAGCCAGAUUAUUUAGGUAGGGAAGAAUAAAUAAUAAGACAAAAUGCCAUAAUUUGAUGAAAAGAAAAGGGAUAAAUAGUUGUGCAGAUACUCACAGAAACAAAGCCGGGAAGGAAAAUACAUUGAUAUCAGUUUUUGGAGAUGUAAAUGUCUGGGCAUUUUGCUUUUUUCUCUCUCUCAACUUUUGUAUAUUUGCCAAAUAUUUAAACAUUUAAAAGAUUUAUAUUUUGGUGUGUUUGUACCUGUGUCGUCUGUGUGGGAGUAUGUACAUGUGUGCAGAUUCCUACAGAAAUCAGAGGUAUUGGCUCCUCCCAGAGUUGGAGUAACUAAUGGUUGUGUGCUCCCCGAUGUGAGUGCUAGGAACCAAACUCAGAUCCUCUUUAAGAGUGUUAUAUAGUCUUAACCACUAAGCUAUUUCUCUAGUUCCAUAGAAACAUAUUUUUAAAAGAAAAGUAAAAACCAAAAACAUUAUGUUUAAAGAAAAUAUAAAGAUUUCCUUCUAAUUAAAAAAAAAAGCAACUCCCCCCCCCC
rnacentral:lncRNA from 1 species